ensembl:misc_RNA Gm23213 predicted gene, 23213
GGAUGUGAGGAUAAUCUGGCUGAGACAUCUGUCACCCCAUUGGUCACCUGAUUGAUUUGGAUGAUAUGGCUGGCUAGGCAGUGUCCAUUUCCUCCCUCAAUGUUCCAUAUGAGUCUAUCCAGAAACUCUACCCUUGGAUGAAGAGGCCUGCCCAUAUAGGGAAGUUUCUUUCUUUGGUCAAAGGUUUACCAGUAGCUGCUUUCCCCUGAUACAAACUCCAAACAAAGCCUCAAGAACACUCUUUUAGCCACUGGGCCAUCUAUCCAAUCUCUCUAGUCUCUUCCUCUUUAUUCACUGCAUGGGGUGUGUCAGCAAA